rnacentral:rRNA from 1 species
UACGUAGGGGGCGAGCGUUGUCCGGAGUUACUGGGCGUAAAGGGCAUGCAGGCGGUCGGACGCGUUUUGUGUGACAGCGGGUGGCUCAACUACGCGAGCAUACGAAAGACGGUUUGACUUGAGGGCUCGAGAGGGACACGGAAUUCCGGGUGGAGUGGUGAAAUGCGUAGAGAUCCGGAGGAACACCGAAGGCGAAGGCAGUGUCCUGGCGAGUGACUGACGCUGAGGUGCGAAAGCCAGGGGAGCAAACGGG